rnacentral:lncRNA from 1 species
ACAAGACAAGCUAAAUCUUGCACUUCACAGGCCUGAUUUUGUUCUUUGCAGCCUUGAGAAUGGUCAUGCCAACCCUUCAAAAAUCACCUGCCUGCUUGUCAGGAGAAAAUCGUUUGAUGUGUCCAUAGCUCCAGCUCAAGCAUUCAAAUAAUAGUAUUUGCUAGAACAGAAGAACCGUUAAAAAAGUUGUGCAAUGCUGUAACAUAUUUACUUCAAGACAAACUUUUCCUGUUUAUAUAUGCUUAACUAAUCUGUCGAGCUUACAGGAAAAAUCUUCAAAUUCAGCAUCCAUGGUACACAACAGUUACCAGAAAUUGUUGGCUUAUUUUCAUAACUAAAUGUUAUGAAAUUUCUCGUGUAAUUGUCAAGGAAACCACAAGAUGGAAAAGGGAGAAAUGCAGAAGAAUUUUACAAUGACUGACUUUUCUGUUCUGCUAACCCCUUUGUUUGCCUCUAUUGUUUGAUCAGGGAUCAACUGAAUUUCCCAAUGUCGCAACUAAAGCUAGUUAAGAUGAAAUUUGGAGUACUUUUCAAUAAUUUUCGUCAGUUAUUGCUAAGAACUUAUAAACAAAGUUUUAUUCAAUCUUAAGCUACAUAAGUUUAAUUAGUUUCAAAACUAGGAUUUUCAUUUUGGCUUCUUACCUUCUAUACAUAUAUACUAUUUUACUUCAAAAAAAAGGUGAGGAGUGCUUGACCAGUGGAAUAAUAAUUCAUUUUUUAUGUUUCUUAUUUUUAUGUAGUAGUUCUUUUUCAUUCUAAGAACAAGAGGUGGUGAAGAUGGAAAUUCUCAAUUAACAGUAAAGUAUUUAGGAACAGUCUGCAGUUGUUAGAGAGUUACUUAACUACAAGAGUAUUGCUGCACAUUUCCAACCUCACAGAUCAAGAUACCUUCUCAAAUUGUUGAAAAAUAGGAAUUCAAUCCCUUUUGGUAAAAACAAAUCCUUCGCCUGGUGGAAAUGCUAAUCAAGUUUCUUGAAUCCUUCGUGAACGCUUCUCUUGUUUGUUGUGGGAUAAGCCAACUGAGGAUUGACUGCGGUUGAGUGAUAAUAAACAGGAAAGGUUAUUGAACGACGAACACAUUUAUCUAGAUGCAUCAUGCUGAAUUCUAAAGCAUAAUUGAUUCUAUAAAUUCAUGACCACAAUAUUUUUUUUCCAUGCUCCUCUAUGAAGACAGUCAUGUAAGUAAGACAAGCACUCUCAUUCAACAUGCUACCGACAGGCUACUGCGGAAGUUAAAGAAUGUAAAUUCUGACAUACCAGCUAUUAGAAGUUUAUGACUGCUAAAAUGCUAAAACUACAAACCUACAAGUAGAAAAAGGACAAGAUCAUGAGAAGAAAAGAAAGCUCCAGAAUAGAGUAAAUGAUGACUUUGUUCUGUUCUUCAAUUAUAUGUCAAGCCGUAACAGAAAAAGAAUUCACGUCAGAACCUGAGGCCACAGCAGACAACUAUUGCUAGCAAAUGACCAUCUGGAUAGGUCUACAUCAGGCAUGCAGUGAUUUCACAAUGUUGAAAGCCAUAUCUUUAAACAUGUAAGUUAUAUAUAUUCAAAAACGAUGCCUUUGUCUCAUUUGUUAGAUUAGAGUUCAACUAUAUUUCCCAUUAUAGCAAUUAAGAAUUAGAAAGAUAAAAGCAGCUAAGAAAUGAGAUUAAUUUUUUUAAACCUUCCAAGAUCUAGGAAUUUCAUUUUGGCUUCUUACUUUCUGUAGAGUAUUCUUUUCUUUACUCGAUAUAAAAGGUAAGGAAUUCUUUGUCAGAGCAUGACUAUUCCCUUUUCUGAUGUUUCUCGUAUUCAUACUGUAGUUUUCUUUUAUUGUAAGAAAGAGGGGUGGUGAAUAUGGACAUGCUGAUCUGAGCACAUGAGAAUACGUUAAGGAACAGUGCAGAGUUAAGGUGCAAAGCUUUGUAACUACAAGGUAUUGUCGCAGAUUACCAUCCUCACUGAUCAAACUGUUGGAGUCUAGGAGCUCAAAUCCUCGUCUAUAACCAAUUCCUUCAUCUAUCUUGCUUGUUGCAUCCUUCAAGAUUGUUUCCCUUGUUAGUUGAGGGCUAAGCCAAAUGAUCAUUGACUGAAGAAAAUUAGGAGGAAUGGUUAUUGAAGGGUGAACACUGAUUAGCCUAAGAUGCAUCUUACUGGAUUCCGAAGUAUAAUAUUUGAAUAAAACAGCACAAGGAUACCUUGUUUCACACUUACUUGUCAAGACUCAAGGCAAUCAUAUAAGAACAGGAAAGUAUUUAACACGCUGUUGACAAGAAGAAAAGAGAGCUCCAGAGUACAGAAAAUUACAGGCUUAUAUAUAUGGUUGUACAAUACUAUGUUGAUCCAUAAAAGAAAAAGAAAACAUGCUAGCAAAGGACCAUCUGAAUAGUUCCACAUCAGCCAUGCUGUAUGUUUGAUGAAAUAGGACACCUUAGAACAUGUAAAUAUGUAGAUAUUCAAAAACAAUGUCUAAAAUAAAAAAAGAUGAUAAUUCUUGGAUUCCACAUGAUCGUUUCUCUUGCCUGUAGAGGGCUAAACGCAAAUGAAGAACAGGGAGAAAUUUCCUUACCUAUGUCAUACCUGUUUGAUAACCUAAUUUAGCACUUAAAUUUAAUGGAUUUCUUAAUAUAUUCAGAUCAUUUGAUAAUAAAAAAUUGAACAUCUGAAUUAAUUAACUGGCAUUGAAUUUCCUAGACAAAACUUGCUUCCAAAAUUAAGUGAUAAACUAUUUACUUAUUACUGAAUAUGAUAUGUAUUCAAAUGUAUUAGAUUUAAUACUUAACAAUUCAAUAACUUAAUAGAUGUAGACUUCAUAUUUCAGUUUUAUCAAACACACAAUGUCUCUUCCAAAUGUGGAGAAAAUGCUUAUAUAUGAAGUCAUCAGCACACUAACAGCAACACUUCGAUCAAGAUGUUAUUUUGGAAGUCAAAAAUCAAAAUGAAGAACAUCACUCAUUAGCCAGUUCAGAAGCUUUCAGUUAAAAUAACAUCUUAAUACAUCAUAAGAAGAAGAAAAGAGACAGUGCCAACAAACAGCAAGAAACAACACUUUUCACAAGUGGAAUAAUAUGUUCGCAGUAAGCAGAAAGCAUAAUUUUGCUCCUCUUCUGGGAUCUCAUUUAUAGAAAACUGUCAAUUGCUAAAAAUAGAUGGUCAGCAGCUCGCGAGACAACUCAAUGCUUUCAUUGUAAUGUCAACAAAAAGCCACAUGCGCUGCUGAACCUAUGACACUUGCAUGAAUCCUAAUGUGGUAUGCACACAACAAUUACAAAACUGCACACAGCUGAUAAUUUAAGUGGCGUAUACUCCAGUUGAAGAGUAGGAGUAAUGCAACUAUUGCGUUGGCCUUGCGUUAGGAUUGCAAUUGACAACCCCCACUCAGUAAAGCAUCUAAGUUAAGUUACCCGACACUGUGUAGGAUACCGUAUGUCAGGGAGCCUGCCGACAAGUAGCCUAUCAAGCUUGUUUGUCUGAUGAUCAUAUGAAUAAACAAUUGUAAAGCAACUGGGCUUCUUAUUUGGUAGGUCGGAAAAUAAUAUCUGCCCAGUAGGGAGGCUGCCAACAUAAGCUGUUCCCCUUGCCAAAACUUCUGAAGGCAAGGGAAUGUCAUGCCUGCUCCAGGAUUUACCUUCAUUAAUGUACGAGUGACAAAACACCUAAGAGUUUCAAAAUCAGUGGGAAUCAACAGACCUAUACGUCUCAUGAAUUGUACAAGCUCCCAUCUGUUUCCCUUUAUCCUGAAUAAUGCAUCGUCUGGCAGUUCUAUCAAUUGGAAUUUCUCUAUGUUGAGAUCAAAAGAAAUCAGCCUUCUACAAUCAUCCUCACAAUCAACUACCCAAUACAGGAUCCCACCAACCAAAGGCUCUCACUUGAAAAGAUUUUUCUAUCGAAUUUUAUCAGACGUACAAGUGUUGAGUAAAAGAACUGAAAUUCUACGGGUGCUUCUGUGUCAGGGUUUUCUAGUUGAUCAGAUCUGGCAUCAAUGUAGACUGGGAUGAACAUUGGGAUGCCACCAUGAUAUGAUUGAGCACCAAUACUUUGAAAGGCACUUGCACUUGUGCAGAUUCUUGACCCUUCGAAGCCUUACAAGUAUUUCAAAAACCAAGUCAUCUGAUAACUGCUUCUGUUGUGAGAUUAUUGAGCCAUUUACAGCAGUGCCUUCUGCUGUUUGAUUAGAAUUCUGACGAUUCCUCUCAUCCAUUUUUUGAUCAUCAAGUGUCUGAAUCCAUGAUCUUCUCCUUGGAAUAUGGUCUGCUUCUUCCAGGUGAGCUGAAUCAGGGAUUAUUCCCCAAAUCCGUGGAAAAUACUAAACUUGGAUGUAGGAAGAUAUCCUACAGGAAAGAUAAACAAUCCCACAAAAUAAUACAUCAGUAGCCUUGGACUAAUACAUAUAUGUAGACUGCUAAGAUUUCUAUAGCAUGGUUUCCAAACCAACAAAGGAAUCAAUUAUACAAUCGGACUCCAGCUUCUACAAUUUGGCAACUAUCAAAUAAAAGAAACUUGAUUUAAUUCCUAGGUUUCCAAGAUAGUAAAUAAAGUUCCCCCACAAAUCCUAUCGUUCUCUUCAUAAGAGUUGGAAUCCUUAUUCCUUUAUUAUUUCAUCUACAUUUUCCUGUUUUCUUAUUAUAUCCCAUCUGGUUUAGAUCCUAGAAUAAAAUGUAUAAAGCUACAGCAAAGAAUGUAAACAAAAAAAAAAUCCAAUUUCUAAUAUGAUAUGAUAUGAUGUCUGCGAUUAUUAUUUCGCAGCAUAAGAAACUUGAUUUAAGUUCAACAGCGUCCACUACUUCCUAAUGACCCUCACUGAGCAAAAAAUCUAAUGGGGCAAGAUUUUCCUCUAUAAAAGUUACCCCAACACCUAAAUUUGUAGCAUGACGUAUCUGAGGUGGGCUGCCAACCAACAGCCUCUCAAACCUAUUUUUCUGAUGAUCAUAUGAAUAAAUUGGCACGCAAGCUGACUUCGACUUCUUCUGAUCUAGUAACUUAAGGUUGGAAAACAAUAUUUGGCCGGUGGGAAGAUUGCCAACAAAUACGGCAGUUCUCUCUUCUGAAUCUGAUCCAAGUGGCCAGGGGAUAUAUUGCUUGAUCCAACAUUUGGCGUCAUUACCAUCAUGAUCUAGCAAGUGAACCCCAAAACAGACAUAAUCAGAAUUCAACAGGCCUAGGUGUCCCUUGAACUGCACAAAUUGCCAUUCCUUUGGAUGGACUAAAAAUUUGUAAUCCGGCGGGGGUUGAAUCAGAUCAAACCUGUCUUUCUUGAAGUCAAAAGAAACUAGUCUUGGCUGAUUAUCAAGGCAAUUAACAAUCCAAUACAUUACUCCUUUAACUAAAAGGUACCAAGCAGAGGAAAGGCCUGACCCUUCAGAAGACACGACCUCGUCCAGCUCUGGGGAGUCGACGUCUAGUGCUGCAGAGGAGUCGGCCGAGGAGGGAACUGUCGAGACCACCCCAGGGUUGGAAUGGGUGGUUCCGAGAUCUUAUAUAAUGACGAUCUCGGAACUGAAAUACCCCACAAUGAGGGCGUGCUGGAGCCGGUCGCACCAAAGGAUGUCGCUGAAAUAAACUUCGGCAAGAUGCUAACAGGUGUCGAGCCUGUGCAAUAAAAAAUACCUGCUCGAGAAAAAUAAAUUUUCUGUGUAUAGUAGUGAGCAGGGUCGAAUCCACAGGAACUGGAAAAAAUUCGAUUCUUUUUAAAUUCGAGACACGGGGGAUUUUUUUUAUCAGAUAAAACUAAAAAUAAAUAAUUUAACAAUUUAACUAAAAAUAAUUAAUUAAUUAAUUAAUACAAAUGUAAAUAGCAAUCUAAUAAAUAAUAAAUAAAUUCUAGCCAAGGAUACAACUACGCAAACACAGUCCAUUCAUCCGAUCAUUGAUGCAAAGAAGGUUCACUUAAUUUUAUUAACAGGUUAGUUAUAGUCGCCGAUAAACUCUAACGACCAGCUUUUCCUUAAUUUAUUGAUAACCAAGGUACGGCCGUUGAUUAUCCCUAACCAGGAAAUACUCCUAGGUACGACCAUAGGAAUUAAUUUCCUAAUUGCAUUAAAAACUAUAAAAACCUAACCCAAAUUAAUAACACGCUACGAGGGUUAUUUAAAUCAGAUUGCAUGUUCCCCUAGUAUGUGAAAAUGCUAGUUGUCACUAAUAUUAACCAACUAAACAAUUACGGAUUUAAUUGAUUAAUUUGACAAGAGAUUAAUAAGUCAAAUUGCACAUCGGGCCCUUGAUAUCCAAUUAACAAAAUAAUCCCAUGGAAAUUCAAAUAGAAACAUAUUAACAAAUUAAGGAACACGUAAAAUUAAUUAGAUCUCACAGAUAUUUGGGACUGCAUCUUCGCGUUGAUCCUUGACUAAAUGAGAAAAUUAGCCACUCCUCAUAAGAAAAUUCCCACGCAAUUUAAUUAGAAUCAAAUACAUAAAUAACUAACUAAGAAUUUAGAAAGAAACUUGAGUCUCCGUAGACUCUUUGAAGAAAAGUUUCGCACCACACAACAAGAGAAGGAAGAACUCCUCCUCCGAAAACCAAAAACUACCUCUAUCAUCCUACGGAGCUUCUUUGGAGAGAACUCAAAACUAGUUUUUAUAUAUUCUGCCUUCUCUCAUAGCUUUUUUUUUUAUUUAGCAGAGAUUUGGAUUUGACUGGUAUUUCUUUAAUUUGCUGCUUAUCUUACUGUUGUCUUGAUGAAUAAAUGUGGCAUCUCACUCGUCUAUUGCUGGUUAUGAUUUGUUCUAUGAAUUUAGUUUAAGUGGCAAGUAAACGCAUGUUAUCUUCAUGAAUAUCAUGAGUUUAAUGACUUGGUGCAAAUUGUGGUUAACUUGUUUAGGCAAUAUAAAUAUUUUAUUAGCAAUUGUUGUGUGGAUUGGGCAAUUGUUGAUCUUAGUUCUCCAUAUUAGGAGAUGACGUGGGCCAUGAUCUUUAAUUAUCUGGUAUUCUGGUGCUUUAAUUGUGAUUAAUAAAUGACUCUACUCCGCUAGUGCCGUCACCCAGUAACCGGGAGUCUUCACCACAAGUGUCGACUUUCGCGUCAAAAAGUGGCGAUAUCUAUGAGUAGUUAGUCCUGAAGCUGUGAAAAGUUGAGUAACUGGGCUCUUUUAUCUAAAAAUGUCAGAGUUCACGUCAAAAGACUUGAAUAGCUUGGGACUGAGCAUUUAUUGAAAUUUUUUUUAUUAUUAUCAAAAAAAAAAGAAAAAAAAAGA